UACGGAGGGAGCUAGCGUUGUUCGGAAUUACUGGGCGUAAAGCGCACGUAGGCGGCUUUGUAAGUCAGGGGUGAAAUCCCGGGGCUCAACCUCGGAACUGCCUUUGAUACUGCAAAUCUCGAGUCCGGAAGAGGUGAGUGGAAUUCCUAGUGUAGAGGUGAAAUUCGUAGAUAUUAGGAAGAACACCAGUGGCGAAGGCGGCUCACUGGUCCGGUACUGACGCUGAGGUGCGAAAGCGUGGGGAGCAAACAGGG
rnacentral:rRNA from 1 species